rnacentral:tRNA from 1 species
AAAGGAUUAGUUAAUUACAAUAACAUCAGAAUGUCAAACUGAAAUAAUCAUAUAGAUAUCCUUUU